UUAAUAAGCACUGAACGAGCAGAGAGAAGAAAGCAGUUUUUCACGAGAUUGGAAGAGAACCAUCAAGCUUUAGAAGCUGAGAGAAUUCAAUGGAAAGCAAGGACAAAGGAAGAAUGUGAAGCAGCAGUAAAGCAACUGAGGAAGAGUUUGGUGUUUAAGGCCAAUCCAAUGCCAAGCUUCUACCACGAUGGACCACCACCUAAGGCUGAACUAAAA